CCAGUGCUGGCUCAGUGGAUAAGGCUUUGGAUUAAUGAUCAGAAAGUUGAGUUCAAAUCUCAGCACUGCA